rnacentral:rRNA from 1 species
AGAAUCAACGCUGGCGGCGCGCUUAACACAUGCAAGUCGAACGAGAAAGUGGAGCAAUCCAUGAGUAAAGUGGCGUACGGGUGAGUAACACGUGGAUUAUCUGCCCUUGAGUGGGGAAUAACAAUGGGAAACCGUUGCUAAUACCGCAUAUUCCCGAGAGGGGAAAGCAGCAAUGCGCUCAAGGAGGAGUCCGCGGCCGAUUAGCUAGUUGGUAGGGUAAUGGCCUACCAAGGCUUCGAUCGGUA